rnacentral:rRNA from 1 species
UACGUAGGGUGCAAGCGUUAAUCGGAAUUACUGGGCGUAAAGCGUGCGCAGACGGUUGCGUAAGUCAGAUGUGAAAGCCCCGGGCUCAACCUGGGAAUUGCAUUUGAGACUGCAUAGCUAGGGUGCGGAAGAGGGAAGCGGAAUUUCCGGUGUAGCGGUGAAAUGCGUAGAUAUCGGAAGGAACACCAGUGGCGAAAGCGGCUUCCUGGUCCAGCACCGACGUUCAGGCACGAAAGCGUGGAGAGCAAACAGG